GAUGAACGCUGGCGGCGUGCCUAAUACAUGCAAGUCGAGCGAACAGAUGAGGAGCUUGCUCCUCUGACGUUAGCGGCGGACGGGUGAGUAACACGUGGAUAACCUACCUAUAAGACUGGGAUAACUUCGGGAAACCGGAGCUAAUACCGGAUAAUAUAUUGAACCGCAUGGUUCAAUAGUGAAAGACGGUUUUGCUGUCACUUAUAGAUGGAUCCGCGCCGCAUUAGCUAGUUGGUAAGGUAACGGCUUACCAAGGCAACGAUGCGUAGCCGCCCUGAGAGGGUGGUCGGCCACCCUGGAACUGAGACACGGUCCAGACUCCUACGGGAGGCAGCAGUAGGGAAUCUUCCGCAAUGGGCGAAAGCCUGACGGAGCAACGCCGCGUGAGUGAUGAAGGUCUUCGGAUCGUAAAACUCUGUUAUUAGGGAAGAACAAAUGUGUAAGUAACUAUGCACGUCUUGACGGUACCUAAUCAGAAAGCCACGGCUAACUACGUG
rnacentral:rRNA from 1 species